rnacentral:lncRNA from 1 species
AACGAAAACUAGUAACCAAUUAUAUAAUCUUGAGCUUCGUCAAAAUUCGACAGCAGCUGUCUAAUAACUAGGAUGGAAGCAAAAUAAACCAGUGAUAAUGUGACAAUGACAAUGGUACAGAAGCAGAUAAACAACAAUGCAGAAAGAGGUAAUACCACACAAUAUGUUAUUUUUCAUAUACAAUAUUUAAUAUCAAAUAAUACUGCGAGAAAAGAUACUGAAAGUUACAUGUAUAUAGGUAAUAGCGGUGUAGUCAUAUUUUGAUUGCCUGACAUGAAUAGUUCGCCAAGCAUCAUGUUAAGUAUGAUGUGCAAAUAAAUCAUUGCUCUCAUAACUUUCCUCUUAUCGAGUUGGGUUACAGUAAACCACUUAUUUUCGCAAGCAAUUUAUUGUUGCGACUUUGGCGAGAAGACAAUAACGCGAAUAUAAAUCGUCGAAAAUAUAUAAAACUUAGAUCUUACCUUAUUUAACUACACCAAACAAAUUAAAAAAUCGCGAAGAUAAAUCGCCGGGUAAUUGGCUAGUAAUGGCUACACGUGUAAAAAAAGAGGGACGAAAGAUACAAAAGGGACAGUGAAACUCAUGAAUUGAAAAUAAACUGACAACGCCAUGGCUUAAAAUGAAAAGGACAAACAGACAAACAAUAGUACACAUGACACAACAAGUAAAAACUAAAGAACAAACAACACGAACCAAAUCAAAAACUAGGGGUGAUCGCAGGUGCUCCGGAAGGGUAAGCAGAUCCUGCUCCACAUGUGGCACCCGUCGUGUUGCUUAUGUGAUAACAAAUCCGGUAAAUAGUCUAAUUUGGUAGGUCACAUUUAAGAAAGGGAAGGGAAUUGUAGUUACGACGUAAGGAACAUAUCCGAUAUAAUUUCUCAAACGGUUAUUCCAUAACGGUCAACCAACUCGUGAUGGCGUCCGUACAAUUUACGAGGAGAUGACAUGAAAGUCAUAAUAAUAAAUAAUAAAGUGUCCUCGAAUAAAAUUAGGUUUACAGUAAAUUGAAUUAAUCAGAAAUCUUGAUUGGAAUGGUCUCUUCUGCAUUUUCUAGAGUUCUAUUUUUCCCCUUGUAUAUUUUUCUCACACUAUGAACAAUUUGGGCAACCUUUAGUGUGAAAAUAAGCUUGUCUACCAUCGCUUUUCAUUUACCUUGAAAACUGGACCACAUAACUCUAUUUGGAUUCGAUAGUCUGACUUUAACUAAAAGAUAACUGUCUCGUAGGUUAUGUGACACGAAAAUAUAAAAACAAAAUUUACCAUGAAAAAUCACCAUCGAAAAAGGAUGUUGUUAAUUAUUUUUAGAUAAAACAUCAGGCAAUUCUAUUUGUAUCUCUAACAUGUUACCAUCAAUGUUCUGUAACUGCCAACUAUGUCACGGUACGCAUAUUCUUUCUUGAAUUGUGUAUGUUCAUAGAUUUUGAUGAAAAUAUCAGAAAAAUAGUGACAAAAUUUGUUUUAAGAAUAGUUCACAUUUUUUAAUACUAAUUGCAUUCAUUUUUUUAAUUAUUUCAGUUGCAAUGACCGCUCAUCCAUCGUCACCCGGAACAAUAAGUAACAAUAUAAUGAAGUUCGACGAUGUAAAGUUUAUUGUGGGUAUAAAAAACCUGGCAGCCUACAAGAACACGGGAAAGUUCACAUGUGAACAAGAAGGACUUUACAUUAUAUCAGUUUCUGUCACGUCGCAUACCAGUGGUGCGACUUACAGCAUACGUCGGAAUGGGAAUAUUAUUUCACAAACAUACAUCGGCACACAUAGCAGUUAUAAUGCUCAUACUGGAGCAGUGACUGUCACCUGGAAGUUAAAUCUAAAUGAUCAAGUCUGGUUGUAUGCUACUGGGUCCUGGUAUCUUUUUGCUAUUCCUUUUUCUACAUUAACAAUAAACAAAGUAAAAUGAAUACAAGUCAUUUAACAUAGAAGAUAAUGGAGUCAUUUUUUUAUAGAUAUAAAUAUAAUGACGUUUGUUUAAAUGAAUAUUAACAAAAAUAAAACAGAAAAUAUAAUUUCUGAUAAUUUUGAACAUCUGUAUAAU